AGUGAACGCUGGCGGUAGGCCUAACACAUGCAAGUCGAACGGCAGCACAGUAAGAGCUUGCUCUUACGGUUGGCGAGUGGCGGACGGGUGAGGAAUACAUCGGAAUCUACUUUUUCUUGGGGGAUAACGUAGGGAAACUUACGCUAAUACCUCAUACGACCUACGGGUUAAAGCAAGGGUUCUUCGGACCUUUCGCGAUUGUAUGAGCCGAUGUCGGAUUAGCUAGUUGGCUGGGUAAAGGCCCACCAAGGCGACGAUCUGUAGCUGGUCUGAGAGGAUGAUCAGCCACACUGGAACUGAGACACGGUCCAGACUCCUACGGGAGGCAGCAGUGGGGAAUAUUGGACAAUGGGCGAAAGCCUGAUCCAGCCAUACCGCGUGGGUGAAGAAGGCCUUCGGGUUGUAAAGCCCUUUUGUUGGGAAAGAAAAGCAGCAGGUUAAUACCCCGCUGUUCUGACGGUACCCAAAGAAUAAGCACCGGCUAACCUCGUG
rnacentral:rRNA from 1 species